UUGGUGCAUGGUUGUCGUCAGCUCGUGUCGUGAGAUGUUGGGUUAAGUCCCGCAACGAGCGCAACCCUCGACCUUAGUUGCCAGCAUUCAGUUGGGCACUCUAAGGUGACUGCCGGCUAAAAGUCGGAGGAAGGUGGGGAUGACGUCAAAUCAUCAUGCCCCUUAUGACCUGGGCUACACACGUGCUACAAUGGGCGGUACAAAGGGUCGCGAACCCGCGAGGGGGAGCCAAUCCCAAAAAGCCGCUCUCAGUUCGGAUUGCAGGCUGCAACUCGCCUGCAUGAAGCCGGAAUCGCUAGUAAUCGCGGAUCAGCAUGCCGCGGUGAAUACGUUCCCGGGCCUU
rnacentral:rRNA from 1 species